GCAAACUUGGUCAUUUAGAGGAAGUAAAAGUCGUAACAAGGUUUCCGUAGGUACGUCAGGUGUCGAGAUCCCCAGCUGGACCCCCACAUACGCCGGUAUUCUAACUCGAGACCCUACAGGUGAACCUGCGGAAGGAUCAUUAGUAUACGGGUCCCGGCCGUCCCUAGCGGGACGACCGCCGGCGGCUCAUACCCCUGAUACGCGGCCUAGCUGCUCUACGGCCGGCGUCUAGGGACGCCUAGUCCGUUAUAACCCCAACGAUGCGUUUAUAUGCGGUGGUCUAGCAUCGUCUAGCCGUCGGAGACCCUCGAGAAGACCCCCUAAAACUCUCAACAACGGAUCUCUUGGUUCCGGCAUCGAUGAAGAACGCAGC
rnacentral:misc_RNA from 1 species